UCUUCUCCUCACAAAGUCUCUUUCCUUUUCCAUCACUCUCACCCUUCAAUCUCUCUCUCUCUUUUCAAUCUCAGGUACGUGCGGGCAACUGGGGUGCGCGCGCAGGCGUGGCCACCGCUGGAGUGCGCGUGGCCGGCUGAAGUGCGCGCGCGGGUGCGGAGGGGUUCGGUCGGAGGGUUCUGGCGCGGGGCGGAGGGGGUUCGCGCGCGGGCUGUCGGGAUUGGUUGUCUGGAGCCGCGCGCGCGGGGCGGAGGGGUCUGGCCAGAGACACACCGCUGGCGACGCGCGACCGGCUACACGGGCCGGCGUCGGCAACCCUCCCCGGACGGACGAAGAUGAGGAUCAACUAUCUAGCUAUUGCAAGCAUGCAUAUAUACAAGCCUUAUUCGGCUUUAUAUUUUUCAGACACCAAAGCCAAUAAACAUGCUUGUCCUCUCUCCACGUCUGAAAAAAGUUUUACCAUCGUGCAUGACAUGCAAAGUCAUUAUCCAAAAAUGAAGAUUCCACACUAUGGUUUGAUCGUAUUGUAGCGUACAUUAUGCUACUAUUUAUGACAAGAUGAGUGUACCAAUAUAGUUGUACAAUACCAUCAUCAUGUGCUCAAAGAUUCUCUUUUCCUUUUUAAGUAUGUUAUCAAAGAGAGUGUAGUUUGGUGGGGAU